AAGUCGUAACAAGGUUUCCGUAGGUGAACCUGCGGAAGGAUCAUUACCGAUAUUAGCGAACCCCGGUCGCUUUUGAUCGAGGUCUCGCAACCUGUAUUUAAGACCCACGCUUUUUUUUUUAAUAAUAAAAAUUAUCGUAUCAAAUUAUGAUAAAAGAUCACUUUCAACAACGGAUCUCUUGGCUCUC
rnacentral:misc_RNA from 1 species